rnacentral:misc_RNA from 1 species
AGCAGCCGCGGUAAUUCCAGCUCCAAUAGCGUAUAUUAAAGUUGUUGCAGUUAAAAAGCUCGUAGUUGAAUUUCGGGAUCAAUAUGUUGGUCGUGCCUCGGUACGUACUAGCUUAUUGGUUUCUCCUUUCUGAGGAACCAUGAUGUCAUUUAUUUGGUGUCGUGGGGAAUCAGGACUGUUACUUUGAAAAAAUUAGGUGCUUAAAGCAGGCUCACGCUUGAAUACAUUAGCAUGGAAUAAUGAAAUAGGACGUUUGAUUCUAUUUUGUUGGUUUCUAGGAUCGACGUAAUGAUUAAUAGGGAUAGUUGGGGGCAUUAGUAUUCAAUUGUCAGAGGUGAAAUUCUUGGAUUUAUUGAAGACUAACUACUGCGAAAGCAUUUGCCAAGGAUGUUUUCAUUAAUCAAGAACGAAAGUUAGGGGAUCGAAGACGAUCAGAUACCGUCGUAGUCUUAACCAUAAACUAUGCCGACUAGGGAUCGGAUGAUGUUAAUUUUUUAAUGACUCAUUCGGCGCCUUACGG